GGUGGAAGGAAACAUCCGUGGGGCCACGAGCUGGGUGCAUUUAGUAACUCUACCCCACGUCCCUUGUGAAAGUCUGAGACUAGGGCCAAAAGCGGCCCCAACAGGGCCCUCCCUGAGCUUAUGUAAGGUAAGUUCCCAGAGCAGGAACCUCUGGGGCUAGGGCAGAGGGGACAGGAGAUGCCGUGUACCCGCCCUUGGGGAGGGUCCUAGCAGAUGACCGCUUAACCUGUGCUUGGAACAGACUCGUGGCCUACGAAGUGAGUUCAAUGGCAGAGUUGAGGUACCCUACAUGGGGGCAUUAUAACGCAAUUCAGACUACUUUCCCCCACC
ensembl:ribozyme RNaseP_nuc Nuclear RNase P